rnacentral:rRNA from 1 species
UACGAAGGGGGCUAGCGUUGCUCGGAAUCACUGGGCGUAAAGGGUGCGUAGGCGGGUCUUUAAGUCAGGGGUGAAAUCCUGGAGCUCAGCUCCAGAACUGCCUUUGAUACUGAAGAUCUUGAGUUCGGGAGAGGUGAGUGGAACUGCGAGUGUAGAGGUGAAAUUCGUAGAUAUUCGCAAGAACACCAGUGGCGAAGGCGGCUCACUGGCCCGAUACUGACGCUGAGGCACGAAAGCGUGGGGAGCGAACAGG